rnacentral:misc_RNA from 1 species
AAGAGCCGUAUGCGGUAAUUCCGCACGUACGGAUCUGUCCGGGGGGAGCUGGGCGACCAGCGUUCCUACCGGGAC